AUACGGAGGGUGCAAGCGUUAUCCGGAUUCAUUGGGUUUAAAGGGUCCGUAGGCGGGAAUCUAAGUCAGUGGCGAAAUCUUGCAGCUCAACUGUAAAAUUGCUAUUGAUACUGGAUUUCUUGAAUUAGUGUGAAGUGGUUAGAAUGUGUAGUGUAGCGGUGAAAUGCAUAGAUAUUACACAGAAUACCAAUUGCGAAGGCAGAUCACUAACACUAUAUUGACGCUGAGGGACGAAAGCGUGGGGAGCGAACAGGAUUAGAAACCCCUGUAGUCC
rnacentral:rRNA from 1 species